UACAGAGGUCUCAAGCGUUGUUCGGAUUCAUUGGGCGUAAAGGGUGCGUAGGCGGCGCGGUAAGUCGGGUGUGAAAUCUUGGAGCUUAACUCCGAAACUGCAUUCGAUACUGCCGUGCUUGAGGACUGGAGAGGAGACUGGAAUUUACGGUGUAGCGGUGAAAUGCGUAGAUAUCGUAAGGAAGACCAGUGGCGAAGGCGGGUCUCUGGACAGUUCCUGACGCUGGAGCACGAAGGCCAGGGGAGCAAACGGG
rnacentral:rRNA from 1 species